rnacentral:rRNA from 2 species
GUGGGGAAUAUUGGACAAUGGGGGGAACCCUGAUCCAGCCAUGCCGCGUGUGUGAAGAAGGCCUUAUGGUUGUAAAGCACUUUAAGCGAGGAGGAGGCUACUGAGACUAAUACUCUUGGAUAGUGGACGUUACUCGCAGAAUAAGCACCGGCUAACUCUGUGCCAGCAGCCGCGGUAAUACAGAGGGUGCGAGCGUUAAUCGGAUUUACUGGGCGUAAAGCGUGCGUAGGCGGCUUUUUAAGUCGGAUGUGAAAUCCCCGAGCUUAACUUGGGAAUUGCAUUCGAUACUGGGAAGCUAGAGUAUGGGAGAGGAUGGUAGAAUUCCAGGUGUAGCGGUGAAAUGCGUAGAGAUCUGGAGGAAUACCGAUGGCGAAGGCAGCCAUCUGGCCUAAUACUGACGCUGAGGUACGAAAGCAUGGGGAGCAAACAGGAUUAGAAACCCUAGUAGUCC